CUCCGAGCUUGGGGAAGAGACAGUUAAACCUUCCCCGUGAGAGCGAGUUAUAUCACGCAGCGCCAGUGCCAGGUCAGCAGUCUGGCUGGAGCUGGACCGGCUGGUGGCGCCAGGCAGUGCCAAGCACCCCUGGCAGCCCUGCAGAGGGUUCUCAAAUCCAGAUUUCAUUCUGCAGUCCCGGCAGUGUUUUGACGACUGCCUCACUAAAGGAAGCUAAAAGCUGUGCUGAUGCCUCCCAGACGAGCCUCGUUGGAAGCACAGAACCUUCACGGCUCGGAGCCGCUGACACCGUGACAAAGGGAGCCCUGCUCAGGAGAAAGAGCAAAUGAGAGGCAGUUGCACUUUUUCAGGUGUCAGGCUGGAGGAAGCCACUUGAAGAUGAAUCUACCUCUGCCUUAGGAUUGCCUGAUGGCCUGUGCCAUUCCAUGUUAUAUCUACUGAUUUGCUCCCUGUAUUCAAAGAUUUUUUUUUUUUACUUAAUUCUCUCUUACUGACCCUGAGAGUGACCAUAUUUUUAACCAAUUUGGUCUUCAGCCUCAAAACUUAGCUCUUUCCUUUUGUGGUCCCCGAAUCCUAUCACGUGUCAUGGUGGCUGUGAAGAUGUUUGCCAAGCCUGCUGAGAAGGCUCAUCUGUGGCAUCCAAAAGCAGAGAUUUCAACUCUGGACCCCUGUGACCUGCCUUUGUAAUUAUGGAUACCCAGCACUGUUUUGAAAUAUCAGUGGACAUCCAGUUUUUAAAAGCCCUCAGAGCUUUGGGAGACACCCCUUUAUCUCUCUGGCAUGUCAGAGAACCGAUUCAACCCUUCUCAUCUCCUCCUCCUUCCCUCUCUUGGGCCAUCAGGAUGCGGCAGCAACUCACUGUGCAUGUUUUUACAGCUCUUCUCCAGUAAUGCUGCCAUUUCCACUGCAGACCACAGGAUAAAAGGACCGCUUCACCGUGGCCCAGGAUACCCUUUUAAGUAGGAGAGGGAGAAGAAAGUACUGCUUUGAUCUAAAAUUAAGCAAACGUUCUUCAAUAAACCCACCAUGAGACUUGACCACUAAUGGUGACCAGCAGUGGCUUUGUCAUGGCCCUGCCCACUGGGGGCAGGCACAUGCCGGGGCCAGGGCAGGCUGCCAGCUGGUGAGCACGAAUAGGUGGCUGGUGGAGCGCAUGCAGUGGGAAGGGCAGAUGGCUCCAUUUUGAUUUGUUAGCAGGCCACUUCCUCGGAAGGGGCUUUCCCUUCAGUGGGGUCUGCACCGCCAGCCUCAGCUGUCUUGGAGCAGAUGUGUAUAGUUAGAGAUGGGGACCUUUUCACUGUAAAUACUGCUCACAUGUUCCUAGGCUGACUUUACUAUGUGCAGAGCCUCUUCUCAAAUAUCCAAAUCCCCUCUGUUGGGUACUACAGAACAGAUGUUACCCUGCCUCCUAUUACAUUAAUUUACGAACUUUACAUAUGCUGAGUUACGGACCCUAAGCUGUUGCAUGUGCUUGGCUCUUAUGUUCCAAAAAGUACAUUUGUAUGGUUUUGUGGAAACUGUGCUGUUCUGCUUUUGCAGUCUGUGAGAUUCUGAUUUUUUUUUUCUCAUCAGCAAUUAUCCUUGUCUUGGAACAUCAGAGCUUGAAGAAAGGGAUUCUAGCAGCCCACCUCUCUCCUUCCUAAUCCAGAUGGUUAGAGGCUUAGAGAGAGGUGGUGGUUGCUCUGAGUUUACCAGAUUCAGUGACAAACCCCUUCUAAUUUCUAAUCAAUCUGGCAGCCUUCAUUUACCAAAAGUUGACUUUUGAUAGUAUAACUUUUAUACACCG
rnacentral:lncRNA from 1 species